UCCCUUGCCACGCCCCCAUUCAUUGGCUUCGCCCUUGACCACGCCCACCACCCGCUGGCCACGCCCCUUUCCCAAAUCCCCCCGUUAGGCCACGCCCCCAUUCAUUACUAUCGGCCACACCCCUGCGCCUGCAUUGGUCAGGGCCCCGUCCAUCAAUUACCGUUGGCCCCGCCCACAUCCUUUGGCCACGCCCCGUAACCAACGCUCCUCCCUUGGCCACUCCCCCCUCAAUGUUUGAUCCCGCCCCCAUCAAUUAUAUUGGCCCCGCCCCCAUCAAUUAUAUUGGCCCCGCCCCCAUCCCUUGGCCACGCCCCCAUUCUUUGCCUUCUCCCUUGACCACGCCCACCACCCACUGACCACGCCCCUUUCCCCAAUCCCCUUCCGUUAGGCCACGCCCCCAUUCAUUGCUAUUGGCCACGCCCCCUCGCGCCCAUUGGCCACGGCCCAUGUGACAAAGCCCCUCCCUUGGCCACGCCCCUUACCCAUUGGCCACGCCCCCCUCAUUUGGCCACGCCCCUUCAGCAACGCUCCUCCCUUGGCCACGCCCCCAUUGUUGACCCCACCCACAAGCAUCUCACAUGACCAUGCCCGCCCCCAUUGGCCACGCCCCUUUCCCCAAUGCCCCCCUAAGGCCACGCCCCUCAUGGAUUGGCCACGCCCUGACACCCAAGCACUGUCACUGGCCACGCCCACUUCUGCUAAAGCCACGCCCCCCAUUGGCUGGAGGGCGGGGCGCCUGGAGGAAGCAUGCCCAGUGAUUGGGUGGUGCUUCGGGGUGGGCGUGGCUUUUCCCGGGGGGCGUGGCCCAACGGAAGGGGCGUGGCCUUUUCGAGGGGCGUGGCCUGAUGUGAGUGACGAAAGGGGCGUGGUCUCAGUGGCAGUGAUGCAAAUGAAGGGGCGUGGCCUCAGGGCUGCCCCCCAACACUGCACAGUGGGCGGGGCUACACGAUCGGGGGGCGGGGUCAGCGGGAGUGGGCGGGGCUUAAGGAAGGGGAGGGGCCUAUCUAUAACGGGGAACGGUCUGGUGGGUGUGGCUACGCGGAAGGGGGCAUGGCCUGUUAUGCAAAUGGUGGCGUUGUUAUGCAAACGAUGGGCGUGGCCUCACGGUUGCCCCCAUAC
rnacentral:lncRNA from 1 species